rnacentral:lncRNA from 1 species
ACAGAAUCUCUUUGUUGUAUGAUGGCCUUCUUCCUAGAACACCGUUUCCACCAUUUCCUUUCUCUAUGAUUUGUUUGUAACUUAAUUAUAGCAGUGUGAUGACUGAAAUCAAUCUUGUGUAUAUAGGAUUAUAUUAGAUAGGCGAAUCGGGGACCUAUUCAAAUAAUGUAAAUAGUUUUGCAGAUAAAAUUAUAGUUGAUGGAAAGAAAUGCUUUUGCAUUCAUUUCUCCUCCUCCUCCUAUGCUUU